rnacentral:lncRNA from 1 species
AUGAAAACUUAUUCUUUUUAUUAUUUACUAUUUUACAUGCACAGCAUAUUAAAAGUGAAUCUCCAUCAAGUUGACUAUUCCACAUUGAAACUCUAUGCAACAGGAAUUAUGAAAGCUCUCUACACAAUCCUAAUGUGGUCAAUAAAUUAUCCAGGUGUUUUCCUACAAAUAUUUAAGUAUCUGAAUUAAUUGAUUCUGCGACAAAACAGUCAAUUUUAGUUUCCAUACAGUCUUUAUAGGUAGCAGCAGCCAUCUGACACUUAAAUGUAGAAGAAAAAACUUGAAUAAAAUAGCCAAAUCUUUUAAGAAACAAAGUUCACUGAAAAAAGUAACAUUUAUCUAUUAUUAUUAUCUAUUAUUAUUAUUAUAGGCAUUCAGAGGGGGAAUCAAAACAAAACACACAUGUAAUUAGUGUCCAUCAGAUGAUCAUCACUAACAUUCUGUUACUACCAAAGCAAUAUGUGUCAGUCUAUGAGCUUAUUAGAUGUAAAUACCUAAAAACAAACCAGUAAUCAAUAUGUACAGAGAGAAUGCCAAUAAUAGUUUGCUGUAUCUGAAAUACACUGAAUUCUUUUUGCCUCAUUACUUCUAUAAAUUCCUUAAUGUUCUUUUCAUAAACCAUAAUUACCUAAAUAAAAUACGGGAAGGUAUUUCCCAAUAUGCAUCAUGUCUUCCACUCCACCACUGGGUUAAAUGCUGCAGCAAAUUAAACAGUACCUAUUAACUAGACCUAAAGACAAUGGCUAGUUAAUAGAAAAAAAACCAAAAACCAAAAACCAACUUUUGAAUGAACUCUUCAGAUUAGACCAGUUACAUGCUAAUUCAGAUUACACUUUGUGCUACUGACACACACCACAUAGAUUGUCCGCUGCUAAGUGGAAGGGCUGGUCCAUGUCCAUUUUUAAAAAUGGCUAUAAGGAACCUACUAGACUAAUAAAUACUUACUAAAAGAAUAGAUAUAAAAAUUUAAUGUAUUUAUAUUCCUCAUCCAUAUUCCUCUCACAUACUCACAUGUAAUUAUUUUUAGAAUAGGGAUUUAUUUGGUUUUAACAUGCUAGGAGAGUCUAGCUAAGUAAAAUAAAAAAACAAUAUGGGUUUAGGUUUUCCAGGGUAAUUUUUCAAGUCUUAAUACCGAGAAUGAACCAACCAACUUCUAUACAUCAAUGAGAAAUUUAACAACAUGGAGGAAAGUACCUGAUGAGCAAAAUACUUGUUGUCUAUUAGUAUUAUGCUUUCAGUUUAAUGGAACAACAAAAGCAGCACCAGCUUGCAAUCCUAGUUGAUGGGAUGUCCUCUACUUUUCCGAGUAAGCAUGGUUCCAAAGCAAAAGAAGCUAAGUCUGUUACAUAUUGGGAAUGGUUCAGAUACAGUAAGAGAAUGUUAGCACUGACUUCAACAUGUUAUAAAUUCUGACUCCUGGAUGCUAGUUCUUUCUCACUUAUUUUUCCCAGUGAAAAGCUGGUGUGUUUGGUUUCUUACAUUAUGAGAUGAAAAUCUACGCCCGAAUCUUUUAACAGGCUAUUAACUGAACCUUGAAUAGUUAUUAAAUUAAGUGCCAACACUGCAUGGAACUUACUAGGCACAGACUCAAGAGUAUAAAAUACAAAAAAAGAUGAAAGAUGACCAUCACUAUACAAAUGAAUAUUGUCUAGGACAUCAGAUCAGUGAUCAAACCCAAGGUCUUUUCUGUUUUAUAUUACAGUGUUGCAUACUGACUUGUAUUAUUUUCAACAAAGUGUUAGUGGGCUCAAAAUGUUACAUUUUAAUUUCUAAUUAUAAAAAUCCAGGUUAAUCCAAAAAACAUAAAUCCACAUAUAACUGAGGUAGGUUUUUCACCUUAGGAAAACAUUGCUUUAACCACAAUUAAAAAGUUACUUUAAAAAAAAAAGAAUACAUUGCUUCAUAUGUCUGCCCCUGAUAUUUAAUUUUCUGUUUUAAACUACUUGAGCCAAUGUGACAGUGCUAAUCUCUACAUUUAGUUAAUUCCCUAAGAAAUAUAUAAACACUACCCUCUUGCUCUCUAAAGGUAACUGUGGUGCAAUAAAAUGAGUAACAAUCCUAGAAAAAUGAAAUGGAGGUUAUUUUGCUCAAGUUAAUGCAUGUCAGAAAUCAGGGGACAAGAAGUCAUGUUCAUUUUAAAGUUAGUGAACUGUUUUGAAAAUAAUAUCAUAAACACAUUAAAACUUUGAAUAUGCUUUAUUAUACCAUAAAUUCCCAGGAAAUAUAAGAAAUAUAAUUUCUGAAUGGAACUAAUAAUAUCACAAAUACUAGCACUUUAUUGACAACAGCCAAAUUUUCUAAGGUAGUGCACAUGUAUUUAAGUUACCUUUUUAAAAUCUCAAUGCUUUUUAUACAUUUCAAAGGGAAAUUAUAGGAGAUUCUAAAUUUUUCAAUAUUCAGUGUAAAAAUCUACAUGUGAUAUAAAUAUACAUCUUAAGGGCAGGAGGCAGGACUGCUUGUGAAUUGCUUUGCCUGAGUGUCAGGCUCCUGUAUUUGCACUAGGUACCAUUAUGUUUAAGAUCAGUGCUGGAAAUUUUCCUAAUAAACUGAAGAAAAGGAUAAGUUUAAAACACUGCUCAGUCUUUAAAGGCAUUAAAAACUGGUAUAAUUUUGAAAGGGAAAUGAAAUAUCCCUUACUUACAUACAGACUAAAUAGAAAUUUCAAAUCCUUUACUGAAAAACCAGCACACGAACAUAUUUUAAGGCUGGACACGGACAGCAUUUUACAACAUCCAAAGCUUGCAUGCAAAACUAGGUAGUACCAAUGUUUCCACCACAUGCCUAAGGGUAAGUGAAGGGGGACGAGUGCCCCAGGGCCAGCGCAGCGCAGCGCCGGCGCCUGGCAUGCCACUCGGACAUGUGGACAGCAGGUCACUCUUCCAGGAUGCUGGGUAAACACUCUCUGAAAAGGAUGCCCUUAUGUAGUAAUUCUGCACCUACAUCCAGUUUCGAUUGAACAUUGAACUUUUUGGUAAAUGUAUUUAAAACCUAUGAAAACUUCCCCGGAGACCAGAUAAAUUAUUAAAUAAACUAUAAGGGGGACAAAACGCUGGUAGCUAACGUAUGUUCAUUCUAGGGUCUCCAGUGGAAGAGAGAGGAGGAAAGAGGUGACAGCAGCUAUUUCCAAACCUAGGUUAUGAUCAGAAUCAUCAGAUGGUGAAAUUUAAAAAUUCUGUCCAGGGUCUCACCCUAAAUCUAUCUAGAAAUUACAGCCAGGGAAUUAUCUGUAAGCAACCCAAGUGAUUCAGCCAAGGUUGAAAGUGAGAAGCCAAUCUAGGUAAUCACAAAGAAUUUUAGGAUUCAACGUGUGACAUUUAUCAUUUACUCUACAUUUGUCCAAAUGUCUCACUUCCCUAUUUUUCUAAUAGUAAAUAACGAAGCGACUCGGCAAGUGAAGAAAGAGUCAAUACGUUACCAAAAUGGAUUUUACUAUAUUUAACUGGACAAAUAAGUAUAAGUAAAGUAUGAGCAUAUUGCUCAGGAUUCAACUACCAGACAGAUAUUUUUUUAAUGUUAAUAAAUCUUAGAGGGGGUUUCCUUAUUC